AGUUACUAAUAUAGUAAUACAUACAUACAUACAUACAUUAUAUAUAUAUAUAUAAUUUAUAUACAGGUAAACCUAUAUAUAUCUGGGUGCAUAUUCAAAAUAUUUACACUGAUGGAAUACAUAACCAGAAAAGUUGGGAGAAUACUGGCCUUGUCAGUCUGAGCAGGUGGAAGAAUGAGGCUUUUCUUUGAAUUUUGAUUGCAUUUUUUCAAUGAGAUAUAAAUAUACACUCUUUCCCCAAUACUUGCUCAUUGAUACAGGAGUAAUGAUGAUUUAUUGGAUCCUGACAAUUAUAGAUCUGAGCCAAAGCAAUAGACUUGACUUUUAAAUAGGAACAGACAGAUCUGGGAAGAAGUAAAGCUGAGAAAAUUAAACCUAAAUAGAACAGAUGAGAAGUUGAAAGUUCAGUGGAGAACUCAGUUGAUCCUUACAACCCUGCUCAAGGAACCCAAUAAUCUUAGAGAUAUCAGACAUGGAAAUUUAGAACCUCUGAUCCACAGAGAGAUUAUGCAAAUUUAGCAUAAACAGAGAAAAGACUGAGAGAAAGAGAGACUAUUUAUAUACCCAGAGUGAACUUUCAUUUUAUGGGCUAACAGUUUUCUUGGGGCCUAGGAAUUUAUAGGCCUUAGUCCUUUAGGUACUAUUUUUGUGUAUAGUUCUACUGUCAAUUCCAGUCUCCCAGGUCUUUUUGCCCUUUCAAUAAACCAAGUCCAGUGGGUAAACCUCAGACUCACAACAGUGUAAAGGGCUGAAACUGAGCAGAUGCACUGAGGUUCGAGCACUUAAGGUUAAUUACCAAUUGGACAAUACUCUAUUAAUAUAUGCUUGGAGAAAGAAUGGCCCUGCCCACUACUUUGUGCAAAUUUUAUCUGUUGUAUAGGAGGAUUUAGGGGGUGGAGUGAGAGAGCCAGAGUCACUGCUGGCAGAUUUGUGUCGUGGUUGCUCUCACUUUGUAUGGCCAUUCUGUUCACGUCCACAAAGAAUAAAGAUCAACGACUUUUGCUGAUUCUAACUCCAGCUGAUUCUAACGUAUCCAGAGUGCUAAAGUGGACAUCACACAACAAUCCUAAUCUAAUUAGCCAUCCUCAAUGGCAAUAGCAUCCAGGAAUGAGUACUCAUUCAUAUUCCAUCAUGGAGACAUAUUUAAAGUUGAUGGGGAGAUAAUGAGGAUGCUCUACCUUGUAUAGGGAGAUAUCUGAAAGCCAGAAUAAAGACUUCAGACAUUAACUUUGUUAGGUUUACUGAGCUACUCCCUCUCAUGUUCUCUACAUUCCAAAUACACAAAAUUAUGAUUACCCUAAGAAAAAUAAUUUUUUGAAUGAAUUUGAUAUUUAUUUAGGAAUCUGAGUUUCUCUCAUUAUCUUUCCUUGUUUAUUUCUUAUAUAUCCUGUUCUCUGUGGAAUACAUAUUUUGAAGAGUGUGAUAUAUUCUCAAGGAGUUAGGACAGAUAUCGUUUCUAAUGUCAUAACUCAUAAGUCCCCACUGAUAUAUUUUUUAUUGUGAUUAUCAGUUGAGAAUCAUUUAGCCAGAUUUAAUUAGUUUUCAGAAAGUGAUAUUUACUGAGGCGAUAUAGUUGUUUCAAAACAUCCUCUUCAAGUCUUAUAAAAUGUCAACCUAUAGGUAGAGAAUCCAGAAGAAAGUGGGUUUUAGCUUGAAGGAUGCUUGUAGCAAAGGGAAAGCUCACAGCUUUUGUUGGCUGGAAGUUGUUUUUUCCCCUUCACAGAGUAUUCAAGAAAUUUUUCUUAGUCAUGGUAUAGUUUUUCUGCUGAGCUCCUUGUAGAGAUGCAUUUUAUUUUUGGCUUUCACUGCAGACAUUGCUAUCACUUGAUCUUCUUGGACAUGGAUGGGAAUAUGGAAAGUUCCAAAUCCUCCAAACCCUUUCAAGCUCUCAAGGUCCUACUCUUGGCAAGAAAAGAGGAAAGAGAACAGGCCAAAAGCAGAAAAGUUUUCCUCCUCACCAAGCAACUCAUUCUCAGAGCUUUUGGCUUGCUAUUCCUUUGUUUUUUGCUUGGAAUACAAAUCUCUACCAGAUCCUGAAAUAACCAGAGUUUUAAUCUAUUUCAUUUUUUAGAUCACAUACAUCAUAGCUUUCCCAAUAGUACAUUAGUAUGUUGUCAUUUUCCUUCUUUUGGUCAUUUUUUCCAAUCAAGUGGAUAUGAAAUAGAACUUUUUAUAGUUAUGUGUUCAUAUUUUUUGAACAGCUCUUGUCCUCAUGUAUUUGGUUUAGUUCCUUACAUCUUAGGUAUCAGACCAUUACUGGUGAAACUUGGUGCGAGGAUUUUUUUCUUAAUUAAUUGAUUCCUUUCUAAUUUUAAUUACAUUGAUUUUGUGCCGAAGGUUUAAAAUCUUAUAUAGUUAAAAAAUAUCCAUUUAUUUUCUAUGAUCUCGUGUACCCUUUGGUCAUGAACCAUGUCCAUACAUAUAAAGAACAUUCAUUUGCUUCUCCAAUUUGUAUAUGAUGUCUGUUCACAUAUAAGUCACAUAACCAUGUAGAGCUUAUUUUUGUGUGCAAUGUGAAAUGUUUCUCUAAACCUAAUUUCUUCCAUACUUCUUCUUUUCCAUUUUUCUAGCACUAUAGGUGGUGUUGUAAAUUAAUACAAACUAUGCAAAAAAGGCUAUGAAACUAUGCAUCAAUAUUACUACUAGGUCUGUAUUCCAAAGCAAUCAUGAAAAAGGGAAAAGGGCCUGCAUGUAUAAAAAUAUUUAUAGAAGCUUUUUUUUUUUUUUUUUUUUUUUUUGUGGUGGCAAAGACUAAGAAAUUGAAGGGAUGUUCAUCAAUUGGGAAAUGGUUGAACAAAUUGUGGUAUAUAAAUGGAAUACUGUUGUUCUAUAAGAAAUGAUGAGCAGAUGGAUUUCAGAAAACAUGAAAAGACUUACAUGAACUGAUGUUGAAUGAAGUGAGCUGAACCUGAAUAUUGUUCACAGUAAAAGCAGCAAUGCAUUAAUUUAGCUUAACUCUUGCCAACUUAUAUCUUUUCUGACAAUGUUUUCCUAAGAGGCAGUAAGAUAUAAUGGUUAGGGACCUAGUCUUGGAGUAAGGAAGCCUGAAUUCAAAUACCAUCUCAGAUACGUUUUUAGGCAAGGCUGCUGUUGAAGGCCUGCCAACACUUUCACCUGUUCCUAUUUAAUGGAAAACUGAUAUACCAGUGUGUAUAGAACAGUGGCCCUUAGCUAGUGAUAAAAUUCAGGUUUUCUUAGAUAUAGUACAGGAGCAACUUGGCCAAGGACACUUAACAACUUUCUCCAAGUCCUUGGAAUUCCCCUGUAUUUGUUUGAAGAAGAAAUCUGGAAAAUGGAGGAUAUUGACCGAUUUAAGAAAAGUAAAUGAAGAAAUGGAACUCUUCAGCCUGGACUUCCAUCUUCUACUCAAUUCCCCAGAGAAUGGCCUCUUUGGGUUAUAGAUAUUAAGGAUUGUUUCUAUUCUAUCUCUCUGGAUAAGAAGGGUACAAAAAGAUUUGCCUUUUCAGUGCCCAGUGUUAACUUAUCUGAGCCUUAUAAAAGAUAUGAAUGGACAGUUUUGCCACAGGGAAUUAAAAACAGCCCUACUAGGUGUCAAAUGUAUGUUGCUGCUGCUCUUACUCCAGUAGGAAAAGCAUUUCCAAAAGCAAUGUUAUUAUAUUACAUGGAUGAUAUAUUGGGAUGUGCACCUGAGGAACAAAUGUUAGAAGCAUGUCUACAAAAGACUAUAGAAACACUAAGAAACUACAAGUUACAUGUAGCUCCAGAAAAAUUCAAAGACAUGCUCCUUUUCAAUAUUUAGGAAUAUGAAGUAUACCAUAAGGUGCUUACAGUACAAAAACUUUCAUUAAGAACAAAGAAGUUAAACACCUUAAAUGACUUUCAAAAAUUGAUAGGAGAUAUCCAAUGGAUGUGUCCAGUGUUAGGCUUGACUACCUAUCAAUUGCAACCAUUAUAUGACAUUUUAAGGGGAGACAGUGCUUUAAACACACCAUGCCAGCUUGCAAAAGAAGUCCAAGAGGCUUUGAGAGAAGUUGAACUGACUUUAUCCAAUGUGGUUGAAAGAAUCAUUCAAAAACCCUUGGAAAUAUCAGUUUUUGCUACACAAGAGGCCCCCACAGCAGUCUUUCAUCAAGGAGACAGUGUGGGUGAACCCCCCAGCAGAACCAGAACAAAGCCUUACUCCUUACCUAGUGCUUGUGGCUAGAAUUUUAUUAAAGGCCAUUAAAUAAGCAGUACAAUUAUCUGGAAUAAGACCUGACAAGAUGUACACCUUUUAUACCAAUGCACAAAUUAAUGUAUGCUGUGAAACCAUCCCAAAUUUUAUUGGCCACAGCUCCAAAUUUAACACACGGGUCUCCAUUAAAGAUAACCAGACUAUUACAUAAUUGGCAAUGGAUUCUUGAAGAAAAGGUUUCUAAAGUUCCUCUUAAAGGACCAACUAUCUUUACAGAUGCAGCCAAACAUAACAUUUGUGCUAUAUACUCUUGUGACUUAACUAUAAAGAGAGUAGUCAGAACUCCUUUUCAGUCCACUCAGCAGAAUAAAUUGUAUGCAAUCAUUCUAGCUCUUACUUAUUAUCCAGGAGAUAUAAAUAUAAUAUCUGAUUUGGCCUAUUCAGUAGAUGUGGUACAAGAAUUGCCACCACCCAAAUAAAAUUUGUAACUUCCAAUAUGUAUCAGCUCUUUAAGGAACUUCAAGAGCAAGUGAGAAAGCAUCCAGGUAAGAUUUAUAUCUUGCAUGUCCACUCUCAUAGUGGACUUCCAGGUCCUAUUUUUGAUGGUAAUUCAAAGGCAGAUAGCCUUCUAACUAUGUUGGCCAAUAAUCCUUUAUUUCAGACAGCCCAAGAAUCUAAUUCUAAAUAUCAUUAGGCUGCUUGAGCCUUUUCGUUUGCAAUUUGGAAUAACAAGAGAGGAAGCUAGGAGCAUAGUAAAAGCCUGUACAGUUUGCCUUUCUUUCUACGCCCCUAUGCUCUGUCCAGGGAAGAACCCUCAUGGUUUGAGACCCAAUGAAAUUUGGCAAAUGGAUGUGACCCAUUAUAAAUCUUUUUGUUGUCUGUCUUUUAUCCAUGUUGUAGUAGACACCUUUUAAGGAUUUACUUUUGCAAGUAAAAGAGAUAGCCCAAGUGUUCAUUGAUCAUUGAAUUCCUUAUACAUGCUUUUGAAAUUAUUGGUGUGCCACAAGCAAUAAAAACAGAUAAUGGACUUGCAUAUACUUCUAAACAUUUUGCACACUUUUGUGUACAGCAUCAGAUUUUACACACCACUGGCAUACUCUUUAAUCCUCAAGGACAGAUAAUAGUAGAGAGGAGAAACAGAGACAUUAAGACAUUCCUCCAAAAACAAAAGAAAGGGGGAGCCACAGGUAACCCUAGAUAACUUCUAAAUCUAGCUCUUUAUACAAUUAACUUCUUGAUUUUUGACAAAGAUGCAUUGGCUCCAGCAGACAGGUUUUAUAAUCCACUGGAAGGGCAGUGUCUAGUGUGAGCAGCUCCACUAUCUUUAGAUAAUUGCCAGGUGAUGUGAAAAGAUCCACAAAGUGUUGAAUGGAAGGGACCAGAUAGGUUAACUGCUUGGGGGAGAGGGUUUGCUUGUAUUUCCACAGGUGGAGAAGGCAUCAGAUGGGUGCCAAUGAGCCAUAUUUGCCUUGUCCAUCAGAGAGAGAUGGAGCAGACCCUUGAAACAAAGGAGAAGACCCAAGAAACAUCGGAUGGUUCUAUCUCUGAUUGUGCCCACCAAUGAAAGAGCAUGGUAGUUAUGGCAAUUGACUCAUGGACAUCAAAAAUUGUUGGAUUUCAAAACCCUCAGGAAUCAUUGGAUUCUCUGAGACAUGCUAAGAUUGUUGUAGGACUUGAAAACCCUUGGAAUCCCUGAGACAUGAUAAGAUUGUUGUAGGACUUGAAAACCCUCAGGAAUCAUUGGAUUUUCUGAGACAUGAUGAAAAUGUUGUAAGACUUCAAAAUCUGCAGGAAUCAUUGGAUUCUCUAACACAUAAAAAGACUGUUGUAGGACUUCAAAAACUUGCAGGGAUCAUUGGAUUCCCUAACAUGUGAAGUAAUGGACAAUAGAUUGGCUUUGGACUAUCUCUUGGUUGUGGAAAGAGGCAUAUGUGUGAUUGUUAUUUCCAUAUCCUUCUUCUAGGACUUCUGGAAAUCUUUUACAACACCAUGUUGAUUCAUUUUGUUUGUUAUAUCCCUACUUGCAUGUACAAUUCAUGUUUGUUACCCCACAAUGAGCCUGCACUGGCUAUGGGGAGAGUCAUCACUAAUAGCCUGUGCGUUAUUGCUAUGUGCUUGUGUAAUAUCUCCCAUGCUGAUGGGUUUGUGCAUACCUGUUCCAGUAAGACCCUUCAGCCCAGAAACUCACUAACAAUAUCUGGCUUGACUCCCCACUACCCUUUGGUGUUUUUUCAUCUCUCUUCCUGAGAAGUCAGAGAAGGUGUGACCACCUGUGUUCUAAAACUAAAGAAAGGGGGAGAUGUAGAGGGCUGAAACUCUGAAUAGGUGUAUUUGAAUCAGACAACUGAGCACUUAAGGCUAAUUACCUAUUUGAUAUGAGACAAUGACUCUAUUAGCAUAUGUUUGGAUAAAUGGUUCUUCUUACAGUUGAUGGUGGCUGAAUGUUUGGUGUUAAGAUAAUUGUAGGCAAGGAUUAGAGGGUGGAGGGAGAGAGACCAGAGUCACUUGGUGGCAAGACAAGGAGGAGAGAAGUUGGUAACUUUGGACUCGAGAAUCCAGGAUACAUCUUUGGGGGCCUCGUGAUACUUUUCCUGCUUCUUUCACUUCUCACCUUAAAGACCAAGUCCUUUUGCUUAUCCUGACUCUGGCUGAUCCUGAUGCCUCCAGCUAUCCCGGACUUCAUAUCCUUUCUUUUCUACUUUUAAAAUUCUAUCAUUAUCAUUUCAUUCCUAAAAAAUUUAAAACUCUUUUAAAAAUGUGUUUCCUCCCUUCCUGGAAUUCUAGUUGAAUAUGUGUCCAGGAUUUUUUUAGACUGGGCUUGAGGAUAUUUUAAAGAUGUUUCUUCUUCUGGAUUUGUGCCUUGAACAUCAUUGAAAACAAUAGUUUUUUUAUGGUCUUUUUGUUUACUCAUUCUUUCACUCUCCUUUCUGACUUCAGAUUUGAUGGUAGGGAUAGGAGGAAGGGAAGAAGGAAGGAAGAUCUGGGUUGGUAUUAUUACUAUUUCAUUAGUGAUUUGAGUGGGACAAGUUUGCAAUGCUCCCAAAGAGGUUAGAUCUAGGGGAAAAGUCUUAUUACUCUUCCUCUGUUCUGAGUCUGCAAGUUCCUAAGUUGGGUUUGGAUCUUAGCUAAUAGCUGACUGCUGUUGGACUUGAUCACUAUCAGUAAACUGGAAAAUUCUGUUGAUUUGGGACAGAACUGCCAGCUCCACUUUGGUCUCAAAUCUCUUCCCUGUUUAUUUCUCUGUAGACUUCAUAUGGGGCUAGACGCUAGAACUUAGACAUUACUUUCGGUGUGAAAGCCACAGAGUUACUCCUGCUUCCUUUUGAACUUACUCCUUUUGCAAUACAUAGCAAUAGUACUUGACAUUGCUUUUUACCCCAAAAAGCUACCCCUGGAUGCAGUUUCCUUUUUUUACCUGCCAUGCAUUUUGAUCUGAAACUGAGCUAGUGGGUGAUCAAGCUGCCAAAUAGCACUGAUUCUCAUCAAGAUGUCCUGAUAUAGAUCUGUGAACUUGUCUUGGUGUACAAUUUUUUUUUCUGGAUACUGUAAUUUUCCUGGCCUGUUCCUUGCCAGAAUCUGUCCCCAGUGUCCAAAGAUCUUUCUGUUUGUCUCCUCAUACCAAAGUAGGCAUGAAAAAUGAGUCACUGUGACUUUUUUUUUUUUGGGGGGGAUUGCUCUAUCAAAUUCAAUCUGGCACAUUUUCUAUAACUGUUUGGAGGAAGACUUUAGUUUUUCUUCUUUCUUUCUUUCUUUCUUUCUUUCUUUCUUUCUUUCUUUCUUUCUUUCUUUCUUUCUUUCUUUCUUUCUUUCUUUUUUCCUUCCUUCCUUCCUUCCUUCCUUCCUUCCUUCCUUCCUUCCUCCCUUCCUAGCUCCCUCCCUCCCUCCUUCUUUCCUUCUUUUCUUCUUCCCUCCUUCUUUUCUCCCUCCCUCCUUCAUUUCUCCCUUUCUCCUUCUUUCCCUCUUUUCUCCCUCUCUCCUUCCUUCCUUCCUUCUUUCCUUCCUUCUCCUUCUUCUUCCUCCCUCUCUCCAAUAAUAAUAGAACCUGAUUUGAAAGGAUAUUAUAUCUCUGAAUAAGAUAACAUACAAUCAUUUUUUAAAGCUUUGCAGAUAUAUUGUCUGGCACAUGGAGAUACUUGUUUGUUUAUUGACUUGCUAAGAGAAAAAUGCCUGAAAUGGGGAUUUGGAGGCUCCAUCUAGAAUGCAUUGAAAAAUGACAAAUUUAGUGGGUGAAAAGACAACUUUUUCCUUUAGUCACGUGACUUACCUAUGGUCUCACACAGACAGUGUCAGAACUGGAAUACGAUCAGAGGGCCCCUAACUAUAGUUUGAAAACUUCUACUAUUUGCCUAUGGUGGGUAGAAACCUCUAUCCUUUUCAGGGUUCUCUCAAUUCAUCAGCACAUCCUUGGAAAGCCAAAAGUUAAUACAUAUAAACCAUAGAAUUUCAUGUUAUAUUUAAAUUCUUUGUAAGAUCUGGAAAGAAAUCCAAACUGAAACGGGCUAUAGUUUUCAAAAUCUUUUUUCUCUUGGGGAAAAUAAACCUUAUGGUUCUUUUGUUGUACUAGUGACAGUCUGUUGAAUCCUAAAUCACUAUCUGUUCAUUUUGCCUGACUCUUAUUCACUGAAUAAAUACUGGUAAUUGCUAAUUGCUUUCAGAAGAAAACUGACUCAUUGCCUGAGGAAUGACUUACACAUCAAUGUUUUUGUUCCUUUCCUCUGCAUUUCUGUAUUCAAACUGGAGGAAGUGUUGCAGUCAUCACAAAACUAAUGUUGAGAAGAUAAGUUGGUAUGGGGCGGAGCCAAGAUGGCGGAGAAGGCACACGCUACUUUCUAAGCUCUUCUAUCUAUAUUCUAAGCUCUCUAUCAAUAUUAUAUUGAGCCUUAAAAAUAGUCUUGACUGCUACAAUUCGUAAAGAUAAGAAGUAGAACAACUCACCAGCCGAAGAAAAUCUGCAGUCUCGCCAAAAAAGGUUGGUUCCGGGGCCAGGGG
ensembl:lncRNA